rnacentral:lncRNA from 1 species
CUUCAGAAGAUAAUUGCUAUUGUUUCCGAGGCUGUAAAGCAAAGCCUAAAGAAGAAGGGAAUGCACGUCCCUCCAUGGCGAAAAGCUGAGUAUGUCAAGGCCAAAUGGCUCUCUCCUCAUAACCGAACCACGCCUUCUCCUUCGCCCACUGUUACACCCACACCCUCAAUUGAAACACCCAAAGAAGUUGAAUUAGAAACCAAAGCUAAAGAGAAAACCCAACCUGAAUUGAACCCCGAAAUGAAAAACUCAGUUGAAGAUUCUGAGUUGGGGGAAUCCAUAUUUGCUUUCUCUGAUAGCUCUGAAGAAGGGAAGGAAGAGGAGAAAGAA